rnacentral:rRNA from 1 species
AAUAAUUAUUACAAAAAUCGAUUAACUCGAAUAAAAUUCUAGAUAGAAUUAUGAUAAUGACAUUGUCUAUCUACGUGUCUUGACCAUUCUACGUGCCAGCAGUCGCGGUAAUACGUGGGAGGCUAGUGUUAUUCAUCUUGAAUGGGUUUAAAGCGUUCCUAGACGGUUAAUUAAGGCUUUUAUACUGGAAGGUUAUUAGUAAACUGUUGCACGGCACAGGUAAUGGCGAAAGCAUCAUCUUAUGUAAUAACUGACGUUGAAGGACGAAGGCUCUCUAAUAACAAAAAGGAUUAGGUACCCAAGUGAGUUUGGAGCAGAAAAUUAUGAAUGUCAUAGAUUAGAUGUAAAUUUGGUCUAUAAAUGAAAGUGUAAGCAUUCCACCUCAAGAGUAAUUUGGCAACAUUGGAACUGAAAUCAUUAGUCCGUUUCUGAUACAAGUAGUGAAGUAUGUUGUUUAAUUUGAUAAUCCGCAAAAAACCUUACCACAACUUGAAUAUAAAAUUUAUAUUUUUUACAAGUGUUGCACGGCUGUUUUAAGUUAAUAUCGUGAGAUUUUGGUACUUCCAACAAUUAACGUAAACCCUUACUUUAUUUUUAUUUAGAGUACCACUCGAUUAAUAGGGUGGGUAAUAGGGACUAAGACAAGUCAUCAUGACUA